AGCUUUGUGCAGUGGCAGUAUCGUAGCUAAUGAGGUUAAUCCGAGGCGUGAUCAUUGCUAGUUGAUUCUUUUACUGGGCCAACUUCUGUUGGUGAGAGACAAACUUUUGAGCUGCACAGAGC
rnacentral:snRNA from 1 species